UUGAACGCUGGAGGUAGGAGGAACACAUGCAAGUCGAGCGGAUGAAGGGAGCUUGCUCCUGGCUUCAGCGGCGGACGGGUGAGUAAUGCCUAGGAAUCUGCCUGGUAGUGGGGGAUAACGUCCGGAAACGGGCGCUAAUACCGCAUACGUCCUGAGGGAGAAAGUGGGGGAUCUUCGGACCUCACGCUAUCAGAUGAGCCUAGGUCGGAUUAGCUAGUUGGUGGGGUAAAGGCCUACCAAGGCGACGAUCCGUAACUGGUCUGAGAGGAUGAUCAGUCACACUGGAACUGAGACACGGUCCAGACUCCUACGGGAGGCGGCAGUGGGGAAUAUUGGACAAUGGGCGAAAGCCUGAUCCAGCCAUGCCGCGUGUGUGAAGAAGGUCUUCGGAUUGUAAAGCACUUUAAGUUGGGAGGAAGGGCAGUAAGUUAAUACCUUGCUGUUUUGACGUUACCAACAGAAUAAGCACCGGCUAACUUCGUG
rnacentral:rRNA from 1 species